GCCGGUGUAGCUCAGUUGGUAGAGCAACUGAUUCGUAAUCAGUAGGUCCCCCGUUCGAGUCGGGGCACCGGCACCA
rnacentral:tRNA from 1 species